UACGUAGGGGGCAAGCGUUGUCCGGAUUUAUUGGGCGUAAAGAGCGUGUAGGCGGCCUGAAAGGUCAGCUGUGAAAACUCGGGGGCUCAACCCCGAGACGUCGGUUGAAACCAUCUGGCUAGAGUCCGGAAGAGGAGUGUGGAAUUCCUGGUGUAGCGGUGAAAUGCGCAGAUAUCAGGAGGAACACCUAUGCGAAGGCAGCUCGCUGGGACGUUACUGACGCUGAGACGCGAAAGCGUGGGGAGCAAACAGGG
rnacentral:rRNA from 1 species